rnacentral:rRNA from 1 species
UACGUAGGUGGCAAGCGUUGUCCGGAUUUACUGGGCGUAAAGGGAGCGUGGGCGGAUACUUAAGUGGGAUGUGAAAUACCUGGGCUUAACUUGGGUGCUGCAUUCCAAACUGGGUGUCUAGAGUGUUGGAGAGGAAAGUGGAAUUCCUAGUGUAGCGGUGAAAUGCGUAGAGAUUAGGAAGAACACCAGUGGCGAAGGCGACUUUCUGGACAAUAACUGACGCUGAGGCUCGAAAGCGUGGGGAGCAAACAGGAUUAGAUACCCUGGUAGUCCACGCCGUAAACGAUGGGUACUAGGUGUAGGAGGUCUCGACUCCUCCUGUGCCGCCGUUAACACAAUAAGUACCCCGCCUGGGGAGUACGGUCGCAAGAUUAAA